rnacentral:rRNA from 1 species
CACGUAGUUAGCCGUGGCUUUCUGGUUAGGUACCGUCAAGGUACAAGUAGUUACUCUUGUACUUGUUCUUCCCUAACAACAGAGUUUUACGAUCCGAAAACCUUCAUCACUCACGCGGCGUUGCUCCGUCAGACUUUCGUCCAUUGCGGAAGAUUCCCUACUGCUGCCUCCCGUAGGAGUCUGGGCCGUGUCUCAGUCCCAGUGUGGCCGAUCACCCUCUCAGGUCGGCUACGCAUCGUUGCCUUGGUGAGCCGUUACCUCACCAACUAGCUAAUGCGCCGCGGGCCCAUCUGUAAGUGACAGCGUAAACCGUCUUUCAGCUUUUCUACAUGUGUAGAAAAGGAUUAUCCGGUAUUAGCUCCGGUUUCCCGAAGUUAUCCCAGUCUUACAGGCAGGUUGCCCACGUGUUACUCACCCGUCCGCCGCUAACUUUAAAAGCAAGUCUUUUAAAGUCCGCUCGACUUGCAUGUAUUAGGCACGCCGCAGCGUCGUCUGAGCAGGAUCGAACUCU